UGGCCUUGACAUACUAAGAACUUUCCAGAGAUGGAUUGGUGCCUUCGGGAACUUAGAUACAGGUGCUGCAUGGCUGUCGUCAGCUCGUGUCGUGAGAUGUUGGGUUAAGUCCGCAACGAGCGCAACCCUUUUCCUUAUUUGCCAGCGGGUUAAGCCGGGAACUUUAAGGAUACUGCCAGUGACAAACUGGAGGAAGGCGGGGACGACGUCAAGUCAUCAUGGCCCUUACGGCCAGGGCUACACACGUGCUGCAAUGGUCGGUACAAAGGGUUGCUACCUCGCGAGAGGAUGCUAAUCUCAAAAAGCCGAUCGUAGUCCGGAUCGCAGUCUGCAACUCGACUGCGUGAAGUCGGAAUCGCUAGUAAUCGCGGAUCAGAAUGCCGCGGUCGAAUACGUUCCCGGGCCUUGUACACACCGCCCGUCACACCAUGGGAGUUUGUUGCACCAGAAGUAGGUAGUCUAACCGCAAGGAGGACGCUUACCACGGUGUGGCCGAUGACUGGGGUGAAGUCGUAACAAGGUAAGCGUAGAUGA
rnacentral:rRNA from 1 species